UAGGAACAAUUGCCUUAAUCAAAAUAGAAGAACUCUAAAAUCUUUGGCCAUCUCUGCUGGGUGUUCACUUGCCUUUUUUUUUUUUUUUAGGUCUGCAGGAACCGUUUGGAUCUUUGCAGUCCUUCCUUCAGGAACUGGAGACCAAGGCCAGAAAACAAGACGAGGCAGGAGAAGAAAGUGGAGCAGAAGAAUCCAGUGCGCUCUCAACGAUGGGAACUACAACCCAAGGAGUCUUCGGAGGGCUGGCUUGGCCGCUCUUGCAGGGUUCCCCGAACACACCUAUACAGGUCAGCAGCAGCUCACCUCAGCAGGACUGGUCGUCCAAGGCACCCCACAGCAGGAUGGAGUGCACCAGUUUGUUCUCAGCUUUCGCUCUGUCAAAAGCCUGCGUAAAGGGAAGGGACCGAUUUCCAGCCUGCCUCUACAGAUGCAUCAGCAGAGUGCGUGGGCUGUUAUUUGUCUGUAUUUACACACCCAGAGCAGGUGUUGGCACACAGCUGUGCACUCUACGCACCCAAACAUGUCCAGGAGCAUUUGUGAGAAAAGAUGUCAAUGACAAGCCACGGAGACGCUCUGCAGAAAGAUGGCUCCAAUCAUUCCCACACACUGAACUUUAUUAACGUCUUGGAAAGCUUAUGAAAACAUUCGCACCAAAGGACAUCUUUUCCCAUGGCUGCUCUUAUGUUUCCCUCAGCCAAGGAAUCAGGGUCAGGGAGCAGCGAUCUGCUCUAGCUGCCACUGGAGCAUGAAGUCAUUUUGGUCACCCUGUGUUAUAGAUUCACUUUUCACUGCAAGACACAGAGCCAUAAGUGUUUUGUGUAUUUCCUGCUGAUAAGGAAAAUUCAGUCCCUACAAUAGUUUUGCGGCUUUAGGCUGGUGCAAAAAGAAAACCACCAUUAUUCGCCUCUCUCAAAAUAGCACCAGUGGCUGUUGUUACGAGGAGGGAGCCAACACCGAGUACAAGCCUGGAACACGUGAGAUCAGGACUCUACCGGCCUCCACCACUGGUUUCCUGCAUGGCCCGGGGCUUCUCUGUGGCCACUCCCCUCCCCGGGUCCCAAUUGCAACUGAAGUGUUGUGACGCUGGAUUCAUUCAAGUCCAAUAGCAAUGCACCUGGAUGGCAGGUGCUAGAGGGGUAGAAUAUUAAUACGUCUAUAGUCACUUCUUAUUUCUAAAUCAAACCAGCAGAGGGCCUCACCCCAUAGCUCAUAGUUCUCCCAGAUGACUGGAGCAUCUCAGUGGAGUGCCCCCUCCAAACAAAAUGCUGACGCAGCAAUGGAGCGGGCCAUUUUCUUACCUUCU